AGUGAACGCUGGCGGUAGGCCUAACACAUGCAAGUCGAACGGCAGCACAGUAAGAGCUUGCUCUUACGGGUGGCGAGUGGCGGACGGGUGAGGAAUACAUCGGAAUCUACUUUUUCGUGGGGGAUAACGUAGGGAAACUUACGCUAAUACCGCAUACGACCUACGGGUGAAAGCAGGGGAUCUUCGGACCUUGCGCGAUUGAAUGAGCCGAUGUCGGAUUAGCUAGUUGGCGGGGUAAAGGCCCACCAAGGCGACGAUCCGUGGCUGGUCUGAGAGGAUGAUCAGCCACACUGGAACUGAGACACGGUCCAGACUCCUACGGGAGGCAGCAGUGGGGAAUAUUGGACAGUGGGCGCAAGCCUGAUCCAGCCAUACCGCGUGGGUGAAGAAGGCCUUCGGGUUGUAAAGCCCUUUUGUUGGGAAAGAAAAGCAGCAGGUUAAUACCCCGCUGUUCUGACGGUACCCAAAGAAUAAGCACCGGCUAACUUCGUG
rnacentral:rRNA from 1 species